AAGGCUCCCGCGGUCCCCGGGGUCCUCCGGGCCGAGGACCGGCCGGCGGGGGCUUUGUGCGGUGGCUCCCGAGGUGCGGCGGCGAGUGGCUUCCGGCGCCUUCUCUCCACCCCCUCCAGCCCCUCCGCCCGGGGCUUCUCGUCUGGCUGCUCCUUUUUAAUAUCCACUUGGAGAAGCUUAACUUAGCCUCUUGGAAACCAGCUCACAGAGUCAAAUUCCUGGCGACUCGCAGAGUCUUUCAUUCCGCCCCCCGGCCCGCGAUGCUGCGAUUUCCUCUGGUUUGAGCCUUUGCAAAGCCUGGUUCCUGCCUGCCUGCCCGCCUGGGCUCCCCUCCACCUCCGCCCCGGCCUGGCCGGAAGGAGGGGUGGUCGCGCCCCAGGCCCGCUGCCACAGGGAAGGUUCAGGAACACCUGCCGGGGAUGAGCCGGAGAAGUGCCCCCCUGCAGACACCCGGGUGUCCCGUCAGCCUGCUGGGACAGAGGAGGGGACAGAGGAGCUGGCCGUCCCGCCCCGGCCGAGAGGGGAGCGCGGGAAGGAGACUUCCUGGAAGAUUCCUACCCCUCGCUUGUGAGUCACAGCCACAGGAGACUCAAACAGGUACCAUAGACGGACAAUAGAGCCAGAGCUCCCUGCGCAAUGCUUUCUGACCUGCCCAUGUGACCUGCAUACUCCCUGCCACCUUCUUUUUGACGUCACCAUCACCAGAGAGGGGCCCAGGGCAGGUAAGGAGGAAGAGUGAGGCCUGCUUUAUCUGUGAGGACAGUGCUAAGUCCCCUUCCAAGAAGCCCCUGCACCCAGCUGGAGGGGACAGAGGAGUAAGAGGCGAUGCCAGCAGGCCCUGAACUUCCAACACAGUCCAGGAGGCCUGGGCUGACCCAGCCGUGGAAAGGGGGCAGGCGCUUCAGGUAACUCUGACACGUGAGCAGCAGAGGCUUUGGGAAGGGGGUCCACAAGAGGGACACAGCCUUGUUCCUGGGGCCCCUUCUGGGGAGUGGCCUGUGAAGAGGUGGGAGGAGAGGAAUCUAGCUGAAAGGACACUCUCUGAGGCUCUGGGCUCAGAUUUCCUGCCACCUCUCACCUCCCCACCCCUCAAGCAGGUACCUUCUUUGAGAAUCCUCCAUAAUUACCUCCAACCUAUGAGAGACAGGGCUUCCCUGCUGGCUCAGUGGCAAAGAAUCGGCCUGCCAGGGCAAGAGACACGGGUUCUAUCCCUGGGUCGGGAAAUGCCCUAGGGAAGGAAAUGGCAAUCCACUCCAGUAUUCUUGCCUGGGAGAUCCACGGACAGAGGAGCCUGGUGGGCUGAGCAACUAAACAACAACAACGUGGGGGAUACCAACCCCUCACUUUAAAAACAGACUUCUCCCUUCAUUUCCUGCUCAUCCUCAGACUCAACCACUGGAGUGCGCUUUCCUGAGUUAAAAAUAAAGAAGCUCCAUCCCUCCGACCCCCUCCCACUGACCGUCCUGCAGUCAUGGCUACUGUACCUGCCAGCAGAGCGGGCAGCCGGCCGAGACCCUCCAGGGCCGGCCCCAGUCUGGCCGCCUGCAGCCUCCCAGAGCAAGACGAAUUCCGGGCCUGGGGCCGGCCGCAUUCCUCUCCGGAAUCUUCUCUCCACUUUUUAUGGUGCCUCAAGUUUCGGCAGUUCCUAAAUAAAUACGAUCCAGCUACUCUCUGCCCUGGGGACUGCUGCAGGGUUUACUGGUGCAAACAGCCUGGGCCGGCCUGUUGCUUUGGGAGUUCUUCCAGGUCAGCGUGGAAGGAGAUCUAGACAAGGGAGAGAGACGGCCCGGACGGGGCCAAAUUCCACCAACGGCCCUCGCGCUCAGUCAUCCGUCCCCGUCCUGCUGGAGCCGGGAGCUGGCUAAAGGCCCCCAGCUCCCUGUGCAGAGCAAGGGGGGAUCCAAGAGUGUGGGGACUAGAGUCCUUGGGAGAGUCUGUCCCAAGGCCCCUGCAUUUAAACUCUCCAGAACACACCAAAAUCCCCCAAAGGCCUGGGGCCUCUCACUUCCUGCUGGAAAUCCCAACAUUCUGCCUGCUCAGUGGCACCCAAUAAAGGCUCACAGGAGGAACAAGGGAUCUGAGGAUCUGCUGUGGAGAUUAAUCCAGACCAGCCCUUCCCCAGAGAACUUCUGUGCUGAUGGAGAUGCCACAGUCUCUGUCGUGUUCAGUAUGGCAGCCACGUGUGGCUGACAAGGGCCUACAGCGUGGCCCAUGCUACUGAGGAACUGAGCUUUUAAUUUGUGCU